rnacentral:lncRNA from 1 species
GUGAAAAACUCUCUGAAAAAUGAAUAGCUAAAUUCUCUUAAGCUCGAAACCAGAAAUCAAUACAUCAUCAAUCAUAAACAAACAACCCCAUAGAAAGGAAAGAGAAACCUAAAAUUAUCUUUAUUUCUAAGAAAGAAGAUCAAGAUCCAUACAGAAAGGCCAUUGGAGUCCGCUUGAUCCCGUUAAGGCAGGAGGCCAUUGAGGGAAUGAAGGACGC